AUUGAACGCUGGCGGCAUGCCUUACACAUGCAAGUCGAACGGCAGCGCGGACUUCGGUCUGGCGGCGAGUGGCGAACGGGUGAGUAAUGUAUCGGAACGUGCCCUAGAGUGGGGGAUAACGUAGCGAAAGUUACGCUAAUACCGCAUACGAUCUACGGAUGAAAGUGGGGGACCGCAAGGCCUCACGCUCAUGGAGCGGCCGAUAUCUGAUUAGCUAGUUGGUAGGGUAAAAGCCUACCAAGGCGACGAUCAGUAGCUGGUCUGAGAGGACGACCAGCCACACUGGGACUGAGACACGGCCCAGACUCCUACGGGAGGCAGCAGUGGGGAAUUUUGGACAAUGGGCGCAAGCCUGAUCCAGCCAUGCCGCGUGCGGGAAGAAGGCCUC
rnacentral:rRNA from 1 species